rnacentral:rRNA from 1 species
UACGGAGGGGGCAAGCGUUAUUCGGAAUUAUUGGGCGUAAAGGGCGCGUAGGCGGCCUGGCAAGUGGAAGGUGAAAUCCCUCGGCUUAACCGAGGAACUGCCCUCCAAACUGCUUGGCUUGAGUCCGGGAGAGGUGAGUGGAAUUCCCAGUGUAGCGGUGAAAUGCGUAGAUAUUGGGAGGAACACCAGUGGCGAAGGCGGCUCACUGGACCGGAACUGACGCUGAGGAGCGAAAGCGUGGGGAGCGAACAGG